rnacentral:lncRNA from 1 species
GCACCUCUAUUCUAGUCCCAUUAACAAAGAUCCUCAAAAACAAAACUACGUGUAUUUCACUUUCAUGUCUUUUAUUUUUUUAAUUUUUUUUUUUUUUCUUCUCCUAGUGUCUCUUUUCUGGGUAUCCAGUAAUAACACGCCAUCAGUGUCACCUCUACAAAGGCAGAAUUUCAGUUUGGGCAAUUGUAACUAUUCCCAGAGCUGGAAGGAAAGAAUCAGGAAGAAAAUCUGGGAAAGAAAGCAAGUGCCCUGGCUGGAGACCAAACAAAGAACAGGAAUACGACCAGAUAAAGAGGCUUUGUCAAAGCACAUUAAGGGACACUAUAGUCGCUAAACUCUCAUAAAGAAAACAAAUAGAGCAGACAUGCUACAGACUUGGACUUGCUUUCUACAUCAGACUAUCAAGUGUGUUUCAAGUUGAAAAGAUUCCAGCUGGGCCAUAAAAGCUUCCCUUGCAUCAGGUGAGUCAUCCAUGCUGCUGACGUAGGGCCCAGCACUCUUACAUGCACACACGCUUACA